UGGGGAAUAUUGCACAAUGGGCGCAAGCCUGAUGCAGCCAUGCCGCGUGUAUGAAGAAGGCCUUCGGGUUGUAAAGUACUUUCAGCGGGGAGGAAGGGAGUAAAGUUAAUACCUUUGCUCAUUGACGUUACCCGCAGAAGAAGCACCGGCUAACUCCGUGCCAGCAGCCGCGGUAAUACGGAGGGUGCAAGCGUUAAUCGGAAUUACUGGGCGUAAAGCGCACGCAGGCGGUUUGUUAAGUCAGAUGUGAAAUCCCCGGGCUCAACCUGGGAACUGCAUCUGAUACUGGGAAGCUUGAGUUUCGGAGAGGGGGGUAGAAUUCCAGGUGUAGCGGUGAAAUGCGUAGAGAUCUGGAGGAAUACCGGUGGGGAAGGCGGCCCCCUGGACGAAGACUGACGCUCAGGUGCGAAAGCGUGGGGAGCAAACAGG
rnacentral:rRNA from 1 species